CCGUGUCUUAAGGUGCCUUCCGCUUUUCUUUAGUGCCCGUAGUGGCUGAUUUAAAAGACUUCCACUCAAAUCGUUGUAACGCAACAUACUCCGUGACAACAGAAUUCAAUCUAUAAUUUGCGAGGUAUACUUUUUUGCGAGGUAUAUACACCAUGCUGGACCGUACUCGACAAGAAUGCCGUUUUCAGGACUGCAACUGCUUCAUGAAAGCAAGUGCUCCAAUACAGCAAGUGCUCCAAUACAGCAAGUGCUCCAAUACAGCAAGUGCUCCGUGGCAGCAAGCUUCAGGACAGCAACUGCUUCAGGACUGCAAAGGGUGAGUUCUACUGCACGACCGUAAAGCGCACCAUACAUUACCCUCGGCCUCUACUCUUCACUAAUGGUGCACUAGGGGAGCACAGGUGCGCCACCAUAGCGUCGGUUGCAACCGUAGUGUAAAAAUGGGAGAGCACUAUACACGUGUAAAUGAACCAGCAAGCAGUUUUUCCAUGCCUGCAGCCAGCUGACUGCAAUUUUGUUCCGGUCGACAGAAUUGAAGAGUAAUAUAGUGUUCCGUGAAAUACCACCGUGAAUAACCUUAUGCUUCAGCCCAUGCAAACGCCACCAGCACUUACGCCAUUCAUGCAUUCGUACCUGUUGUGAAGAGAUCGAUGUACUGUUUUCCUUGCUUGGUAUCAGCGAAGGUAACAAGGUAUCACUCAACUGGAGCAGCCAGCACCGCGAAGCAGCCAGCUCGUCCAGCAAGUCCCAGGACUGUUUCCAUUCGUUAAUCCAAUCUUGGUCAAUAAUCUGCAGAAUAUAGAGGCCACUAAUUUUUGCUCACCGCCAAUAUAACUGCGCAGUGCCAGGCCUAAUACAUAACUUGCACGCCAUGCAUGUCAUGCAGUGAGACGUCAGCAUUGGCAAUGUGUACUAUACUCUUCGUAUAGGAUUUCCUGUGUGAGUCUCUUAGGGCUUACCGUCGCUUUAACUGAAGCAGUUGACAUGUUUGCUUGCUUGCAGCGUUGCGUGGAU
rnacentral:lncRNA from 1 species